rnacentral:misc_RNA from 1 species
GAUGAAGAACGUAGCGAAAUGCGAUAAGUAAUGUGAAUUGCAGAAUUCAGUGAAUCAUCGAAUCUUUGAACGCACAUUGCGCCCGCCAGUAUUCUGGCGGGCAUGCCUGUUCGAGCGUCAUUACAACCCUCAGGCCCCCGGGCCUGGCGAUGGGGAUCGGCGGAGCCCCCCGUGGGCACACGCCGUCCCCCAAAUACAGUGGCGGUCCCGCCGCAGCUUCCAUCGCGUAGUAGCUAACACCUCGCGACUGGAGAGCGGCGCGGCCACGCCGUAAAACACCCAACUCUUCUGAAGUUGACCUCGAAUCAGGUAGGAAUACCCGCUGAACUUAAGCAUAUCAAUAAGCGGAGGA